rnacentral:misc_RNA from 1 species
UCUCCGUUGGUGAACCAGCGGAGGGAUCAUUACUGAGUUACCGCUCUACAACCCUUUGUGAACAUACCUAACUGUUGCUUCGGCGGGCAGAGGUCCCUCGCGGAUCUCUCCCGGCAACGUCCUCACGGGCGGAGCGCCCGCCGGAGGAUACCAAACUCUAUUUUAACGACGUUUCUUCUGAGUGGCACAAGCAAAUAAUUAAAACUUUUAACAACGGAUCUCUUGGUUCUG